AACCAAACCGCUUACCAUGGUUAAACCAUUUGUAUAAACAAUUUACAAAAAAAUUACCACGCACUUACCGCGGUAACUUUUUACCCACCUAUGCUAGCUGGGUAACUGCAUUUUAACCACAACAAACAUGGCGGACGUUCAUAUGGUCAGGCAUCGUAGACCUCGACUUUUUCGACGAGUCGACAGACAGGAGACGGACUUAAUGGACGACGAAGUGCGCCGAAGGUAUAGGUUUUCGACGGACAACAUUGACCGACUUGUUGGACUGUUGGAGCAAACAUUACGAAGACGGACGCGACGAAACCAGGCACUGACCAUUCGACAACGGAUCAUGUUGACUUUGAGGUUUCUCGCUUCCGGGGCUUUUCUCCAGAUAAUAGGAGACACCUUCGGCGUGGACAUUGCAACUGUGUCCCGAAUUGUGACCGACGUGACGAACAGCUUGUUUGCACUUAAGGAUAUGGUGAUAAGGUUUCCCGUGACUGACGCUGACAGACGACGAGUGAUGACGGGUUUCUUUGAAAUGAGAGGGUUUCCGGGCGAAAUAGGCUGUGUCGACGGCACACACGUCCGUAUCAUUUCUCCCGGUGGUCCAGAUGAGCCUUUCUUUGUGAAUCGGAAAGGGUGUCAUUCCCUCAACGUUCAGGCAACUUGUGACCACAAAGGUAAGUCCCCUCUACAGGUUUGGCCUUUUAAAUGCCCAUGUAAUCCGGUACUGUAACAUUACAGUACUGUACGUAUUUUCAUCACUUUAGUCCGGUAUAUCUUAAUAUAAAGAAGUGAAACUCCAGCUGCUGGAGCAGUAUUGAAUUUUCAUUAAAAACAAUUAGUUGGUCCUUUAUUUAAGGCAAGUGACCGAUUGCCCAAACAGUACAAAACAGCACAAUACAGCACAAUACAAACCAACAUAAACCAACAUAGACACAAAAUAUGAAUAAAGCUGGGGUCACCGCCUUGGAACGGUCAAUGCAAAGCAUUGGGGGUUUAAACCUGGUUAUAGAGCGCUCAACCUCACACUUGGCCCAGCAAUAUUCAUAAUACAUUUAAGUGCAAAUAAAAUUUAACGUCAUAGCAUUGUAACUCAAAUUAAACAAUAAUAAAAGGGAAUUAAAACGCAUUCAAUUUAAUUACUCAAUUGCAUUGAAGAUACAAGAGUAACAGAAUUACAACUUUUUGACGAACGAAACAUUAACUCUUAAGGAAAAACAGUUUGUUCAACUUUUUUAAUUCUAAAUCCCCUUUAAGUAUGAAUGAGCAUUUAAAGAGAACUAAAGAUCUACAUAAGUAUAGACAGGAGUCAAAUUUCUGUGUGCCUCAAGUUAAUGGUAUUACUACAUGCACAUUCUACUGAAAUGGCAUUUUGGACUGGAAUGCUCUGCCAUAAGAUGGAUCAUGUUUCACAGCUUUCAUGCUUGAUUGUGAAUAUCUCUUUAAUGUUAAUCAAUGUACUGAAUUUUUAUUCACAGGAAUGUUUACAAGUGGGAAUGCAUGUUGGCCUGGAUGCUGCCAUGACUCCCACAUCUUACGAAUGUCCAAGCUUGGACAGCAUAUGGCCAAUCACCAUCAAGAUCCUGAACGUGGAUAUCUUUUAGGAGAUAGUGGGUACCCUUGCAGGCCUUUCCUGCUGACACCGUUCCUUCAGCCAGAGUCAGAAGCUCAGGAAAGGUACAAUGCUGCGCACAUCGGCACCAGGAACAGUAUUGAAAAGGGCCUUUGGGGUUUUGAAGAGAACCUUUCAUGUCCUCCAUGGUGAGGAAGGCUUCAAAUGCGUUAACUGGUCGUUCAUGGAAGCUGGCCACGGAAAAGGUGCCCCUGUUGGGGAUUGUGGCAGUCAUCAAAAGAGCUGCUGAUGGGGCCGUGCUGCAUGGCGAGGACAUUGUAAACGCAGUAUCUAUGUAUGACACACUUACUAAGAAGGGCAUUGCUCCGCACCUGUUUCUUAUAACGGAUGACCAGUUUUAGGAACAAGAAAAAACUGCACCUAAAGAUUUACAGGCGAUAUUUACUAGAGAGCCAGGUCGGUUCAAGUUUAGAGAUGUCAGCUGUUUCUGUAGUUUUCCCGGUGAUUGUGACUGUUUUACUCCAAAACAUCACAUGUUUCCUAUCAAUGAACAGAGGGCGAUAGGUGAUCCAUCUGAUACAGUUGCAUCGGCAGACAGCGGAGAGGUUUUGGACUCGCGAGCAUCUAUACACAGAUUUGAACAUUUCGACGAGACAAUGAAGGGCACGUACUGUGUUGUAACUUAUGAUGGAAAACCAUACCCUGGAAUAGUUCAGGACGUUGAUGAUAAUGAGGUAGAAGUCAGCGUUAUGCACUGCAUUGGUCCCAACCGAUUCUUCUGGCCGCGGAUGCAGGAUGUGUUGUGGUACCCAAGUGACCAGUAUAUAACCCAAAUUCCACCACCAUCCAAUAUUGGAAGUCGGCAUCAACAGAUUGAGCCAGCCAUAUGGGAACAAAUAAAAGACGCUCUGAACUUGUAAAACAUAUAAAGGAUCUUAAAUGAGUGUGCUCUAGACUUGUAAAACAUAUAGAGGAUAUUGAAUGAGUGCAAGUUUCACAGACAAUUAAUUGAAUGAGUUUGAUAAAAUCAUAUUAUGCGAGCCUCUGGCUAGCAAAAUAUUAUUUUAUUCAACGAGUUCAAUAAAUUUAGUAUAAAACUUACACGAAUUUAAUGUUCUAAAACAUGUGUUCAUGAUUAUAAAAUACAUAUAUGAGUUCUUAUUUGUUUGUUAAAAAUAGUUGUUUGUUCUAUUGUUUCAGACUUAAAAUUACGGAAUACAGAAUGCACAUUUUUAUUAUAAAUUGGUUUAAACAAACAUAGUAAACAUUUAUGAUGUAAAACUAUUGACCGACAAUAUGAUAUCGGACAUAGAGGAUAUUACAUGAUUGUCUUUUGAUAUUGAAUUUAUUAAACGAGUUGGAUACAAUGAAAAAUUAAGAGGCUCUGCUGAGCAUUUUAUCAUUUUAUUGAAUGAGUUUAUUAAAUUCAAUGUCAUAGAAUAAGAUCUGUUUUAUCAAUAAAAAGAUAGAAGCUAGCACCUAUUAAUUAGAUUUUCAUACAUCUUUGCAGUGGAGUUCUUGGAGAAUAUUCGAUUGGGCUUCAUUAACGUAUUUUAACUCCUUUAAAGACAUGCUUCAUGCAUGUUCACUACCGUAACAACCGGUCACCACCGUAACAUUAACUUCACUACCGUAACAGCAUCAUUUCCCCUUAAUAGUGACAAAUGAUUAAAUACAACACCUCGGAAAGUAAUUGACUUCAAUUAACAAAGUCAUAUGUAAGUAUAUGCCAAAGUAUGACAUGUGCUUUGAAAUAUAUGGAAUUUUUAAGAAAAUUAUAAAGACAGACUUUUUCACCAAUUUUACAUUGCUGUCAUUAAAUGGUAAGAUUUUCCAUAUUUAUUAAUAAUCUGGUUGAAUAUAAGGUAUAGAUAAAAACUACUUUAGGCGUUUAUUCAACAGAAAUCAAACAUCAACAUGAAAAGUAUUAUUAUUGCAAAUAAAUACGAAUUAUAAUUAAUGUUACGGUAGUGAAAAAAUGUAAACAUUAAUGUGAAUUUAUUUGAGUGUCAGCAAUAAAUAUUGAAAUGUUA